GGUAAGCUGGAGAUGACAGCACUUUUUAAAGCACAGCAAUACCUAAGUAUGACAAAUACUAUAGAAGUGCUAAUGCUGUUUGGCAAUUUCCUGGAAGGUCUGUGGAGUGGAAAUUCAGUUCAUUAACUGAUGCUGAUACCUCCAGAAGUCAUUUCAAAUUGUUUUCUUGAAAUAAGACUUGAACCCAGAUGGCAGAGGUGAACCCGCUUCGCUAGCCUCCAACAAGAGAUGUUACAGCGACUGUUUAUCCAGUAUCUUUGGCAGACUGAAACAGUGAGCGUUGGCAAAAAGCAGAUAUUUAACAGCUACUGACGAACAGCUUAUGAAUCACCAGACUUGAAUCCUGGCACACAUCUCCCUAUGUAAAAUGACUUUGCAAAAGAACUUUACCUAUCCAAUUAUACAGAUGGGAAAACUGAGGCAUAAGUGAUAGGAGAUGUCAUCGUCAGAGCCAUAAGCUGGUCCAAGUCUGCUCUGCUGGUCCAUGUAUCUUCCAGAGGAUGAAUUCAUAAUGCUUGGCUUAUUGUUUUACAUGUUCCUGCCAGGCAAGCUGGACUAUCCUAGGACAUGAAAGGCUGUACGUUCAUUGGCCUGGAUCUCUUAUUGUGUGCUUACUCGUGUAGUGCUUUCGUGUAGUGCUUUCUUUUGGGCCUGCUCUGGCUGAAGCAAAGGAAGUUCACUGGAACUUGAGAACAAGGACUACUUGCCCAAACAAGAGUUUUCAAGCCCUUGGUUUCUAAACACUUGCUUUAUAAGGUGGACUGUGUAUCAUAAAUCUAUGGCAUAGGAGUAUGGUCAUAUUGGCUUAACUGUCUUGCUAAGACUGGACUUAUUUCUCACACAACUGAUAAAAGUCAUAACGCUGUCAGUCGCUGGUAUACUAGCUGUACUCAACUUUUACUGCUUCCUAGUUCCAUGAUCCAUAGUGCACAUAUGGAGUAUAAAGCCUUCUUAAAAUCAUAGCCCCUUAACUAAAAGCUUUUUCUGAGAGACAGUGUGGUUUGAAUUAUAUUGAGGACCACAAAUAGCAAUUGCUCUUGGGCCACUGCCUUUGAAAUAGAUCUAUUUUAGGUGGAUAUUCCUCUUUUGAAGGGGUACUUCUACCCCUAUUUAUGAGCCUCACUGCUUGUACCAAAUAACC